rnacentral:lncRNA from 1 species
GUUGUGGCUAAGUUAUAAGGCAUUCACAUCUCUGAGCCUCAAGAACACACGUGAGUUAGGGGACGAUUUUCAGGGUAUGCAGACUCACGUUGCAUUCAGACUCCCAUCCUGCCAAGAAAAACAUCUAUGGAAAAGCUACUUUUCAGUUAAUUCUUUAAAUGGUGACUUGCACUGGUUAGGCAUCUCAGGAAGCUCAAAGUUAUCACUGUUCAAAAUGUUCCCAAUGAUGUUUUUUGUUAACCGAGUUCAUGCCACAUGAGCACUUGUUAUGCACACCACAUGGACAGGACAUCCAUGUGGACAGGAACAUCUGUCGUUAGUGUUGUUCAUCUUUGCAUAUGCACCUUUCAAUUUAAGGACCAUUUGGAGGCCUCCUGAGGAUGUUCUGUACCACCAGGAAGAUCUAUAAAGAUGAGGGGGAAGGUCUGUGUGGAAAAUAUGCAUCAUCAAUUGAACGAAGAAGAAAGCGAGGAGUCAGAGGAGGACAGCAGACACACUGUUGAUUCAGAUCAGCAGGGUGUGCUGGUGUGGCCACAGCCCGAAUAUAUCCUUGACCGCCUCAUGUGCCGAGACUUGCCCCAGAGCCGGAAUGGAGAGCUUGCGCCACUGCUGCACCUUGGGAACCGUCCCCGGCGCUUUGGAGCGGGAGCCAGCGAAAGCAGCGGUCUGCGGGCCGGGGGCAGGCCUUGUCUGGGGCAAAGCCCCCCUAGUGCAGUGCCCACUCCGAAGGGCAUUUUAUGGAGAGGGGACCCCGUGAAAAGAGAGAGGGAAAUCACUGCAAAGAAAGUAAAUUUCUUGGAGAGUGGUCUGGAAAAGGCAAAAGGGGAGAAAUAUGACCAUAUGCUAGGCUAUGGUAGAAAAAUAAAAUGGCUUUGUGUCUGGUUCUUGAUGAUGCGUAUGUGUUUAAAAAACAAACAAACAAACAAACAAAAGUACUCCUCUCCUUUAUUUGAUUAAAAGGGUCAAGAGAGGCUUUUCACCUCCUCUGUCGUUGUGGGAGAAUCCCCUGGAUGAUUGUUCUGUCCUGGAAAAUGUCUAAUCUCAACUGAAAAGGAAAAUCCAUCCUAUCUUUCCAGGAAUCAUUUCCAGCCUGUGGGCAGCAGACUCCUGGAGUUUCACAACUGCCG